rnacentral:misc_RNA from 1 species
GCUAAGCAAGAUGGUCCUGUAGUAUUGGGUUGGAGGCAUCCUUGGGAUGGCCAUGAUGACCAUGGCCAUGGCCAUGGACACUAGACAAUUGCAUGGAAGAACGAAUGAUGAAAGCAUAAAUGUUCUUGCUCGUGGCGAUAGUUACUGAAUGCUAUUUGGACAGAUUUGUUUAGCUUCUUCUAUUCAAUAAAAUGAACACAACUCCAUUUGAAUGUGUUAGAAUUCCACGCUUUCACUUCUGAUUUGUGUGAAAAUCUUAAUGAUACUGAAGACAUACAUGGCAUUUUU